GCCAUAAAAGUCAAAAGUUACUGUCCCAGAUAAGACUUGAACCAGUGACCUCAGGAACACUAAACACAUGAUUUACCCACUGAGCUAAAGCUCCUGACAUUUUGCAAAUUUUCGACAUAACCUUUAGCUCACACCGCUAGGUGCUCGGGCCCUUAUAUAUAUAUUGAUGUAUAUAUAUUAGUUUUCGCCUUUUUUGUUUCUGAAUUGCAUAUAAUUUGGUUUUAGUUUGUAACUUCUUCCCAUGUUUUUAUGUUGUUGUCGAGACGCUAAUUACACAUGAGAUGAUCGUGCUGGUGAUGACUGCCACUUGCUGUGAUCUUAAACUGUUCAUGUGUCCACAGAGCUGGAUGCUCUGGGAGACGAGCUCCUCAUGGAUGACGACAGUUCCUACCUGGAUGAGGCUUCGUCAGCCCCUGCCAUCCCAGAGGGCAUGCCCGGAGACAAGUCUGUCAACAGGGAUGGCGUCCUGGUAGACGAGUUUGGCCUUCCUCAGAUUCCGGCUUCAUAAAGCAGAAAUCAGAACUCUUGUGCAAUUUUCUCAUGUAUCAUAGCCUUUUUUGUAUUCAUCCAACUGACACUCCCAGCCUUAAAACCAAAGUAUCUCCUAUCCUACGAAUUAUGGAAACUGUAACCUCAAAUCAGAUGUCUUUAAUCAUUCUUUUACUGCGCUCAUGAUAUAUAUAUACCUGAGGUGAUUGUUUGAAUUGGGAUUCUCUUAACUUUGUACAGUUUCUGCAGCAUAUGUUGCCAAGAACAAAAUAAAUUAUAUUUUUCAAACAGUA